rnacentral:rRNA from 1 species
AUCUGCCCACUGAAUAAUUUUAAAGGGCUGCAGUAUAUUGACUGUACAAAGGUAGCAUAAUCAAUAGUCUUUUAAUUGAAGACUUGUAUGAAUGAUUUGAUGAAAUAUAAACUGUCUCUUUAUUAAAAAUAAAAUUUAAUUUUUUAGUUAAAAAGCUAAAAUAAAUAUAAAAGACGAGAAGACCCUAUAGAGUUUUAUAAUUAUUAUGAUUUAUUGCAAUUUAUAUAUUUUAAAAAUAAAUUAUAAUGAAUAUUUUAUUGGGGUGAUAGAAAAAUUUAAUAAACUUUUUUUAAAAAUUAAACAUUGAUUUAUGAAAAUAUGAUCCAUAAUUUAUGAUUACAAGAAUAAAUUACCUUAGGGAUAACAGCGUAAUUUUUUUUUUUAGUCCGAAUAAAAAAAAAAGUUUGCGACCUCGAUGUUGGAUUAAGAUAAAAUUUAAAUGCAAAAGUUUAAAAUUUUGAU